GGAGGGGGCUAGCGUUGUUCGGAUUUACUGGGCGUAAAGGGCGCGUAGGCGGUAUGCCAUGUCAGGGGUGAAAGGCCUGGGCUCAACCCAGGAACUGCCUUUGAAACUGGCAAACUAGAGUCCGAUAGAGGAUGGCGGAAUUCCCAGUGUAGAGGUGAAAUUCGUAGAUAUUGGGAAGAACACCAGUGGCGAAGGCGGCCAUCUGGAUCGGCACUGACGCUGAGGCGCGAAAGCGUGGGGAGCAAACAGGGAUUAGAUACCCUGGUAGUCCACGCCGUAAACGAUGUGUGCUAGACGUUGGGGGCCCUUAGGCCCUGGGUGUCGCAGCUAACGCGUUAAGCACACCGCCUGGGGGAGUACGGCCGCAAGGUUAA
rnacentral:rRNA from 1 species